AACAUGCAGUCAACAUGUACUAUUGGAUAAGUAAACUUAUACUAUGUACAAAGUUACUACAUACUAUAACAUGCAGUCAACAUGUACUAUUGGAUAAGUAAACUUAUACUAUGUACAAAGUUACUACAUACUAUAACAUGCAGUCAACAUGUACCAUUGUAUAAGUAAACUUAUACUAUGUACAAAGUUACUACAUACUAUAACAUGCAGUCAACAUGUACUAUGCAUUCACUUGACAUAUACCAUUAAAGACAUUAACAUGUACUAUCAAGGUGGUUGUGCUCUUACCCUAAAUCAACACUUUCCAAGAACUGAUCCAACAAUAUCCUAUCUUCUUCGGAUAUUUGGUCACGACGUACGUAGUCCUUUCUUCCCCGGUAAUAAUCGGCAUUCUAUAUAACGAAUAAAUCACACCAAUUAUGACAAAAAAUAAUAA